GAUGAGCGCUGGCGGCGUGCCCAAUACAUGCAAGUCGAGCGAACGGACGAGAAGCUUGCUUUUCUGAUGUUAGCGGCGGACGGGUGAGUAACACGUGGAUAACCUACCUAUAAGACUGGGAUAACUUCGGGAAACCGGAGCUAAUACCGGAUAAUAUUUUGAACCGCAUGGUUCAAAAGUGAAAGACGGUCUUGCUGUCACUUAUAGAUGGAUCCGCGCUGCAUUAGCUAGUUGGUAAGGUAACGGCUUACCAAGGCAACGAUGCAUAGCCGACCUGAGAGGGUGAUCGGCCACACUGGAACUGAGACACGGUCCAGACUCCUACGGGAGGCAGCAGUAGGGAAUCUUCCGCAAUGGGCGAAAGCCUGACGGAGCGACGCCGCGUGAGUGAUGAAGGUCUUCGGAUCGUAAAACUCUGUUAUUAGGGAAGAACAUAUGUGUAAGUAACUGUGCACAUCUUGACGGUACCUAAUCAGAAAGCCACGGCUAACUACGUG
rnacentral:rRNA from 1 species